UACGAGUGGAGUGACGGAACAACUUACGACUACAAGUGUAAAAAUGACACCAAGGGGGACUGCGCGUUCCCAAAUUCUGUUGGGGAGUUGAGUGCCAGCUCCUGCACAACGGAGCGGCCAUUUGUCUGCAAAACAGCCAAGCACGGAGGGGUUCCACAGCUGCC